UACGUAGGGCGCAAGCGUUAUCCGGAAUUAUUGGGCGUAAGAGCUCGUAGGCGGUCUGUCGCGUCUGCUGUGAAAACUCAGGGCUUAACCCUGAGCUUGCAGUGGGUACGGGCAGACUAGAGUGCGGUAGGGGAGACUGGAAUUCCGUGGUGUAGCGGUGAAAUGCGCAGAGUAUCAGGAGGAACACCGGUGGCGGAAGGCGGGUCUCUGGGCCGUAACUGGACGCUGGAGGAGCGAAAGCAUGGGGAGCGAACAGG
rnacentral:rRNA from 1 species